AAAAUCCUAGCUUAAUUAAAGCAUCUGAGUUGCAUUUAGAAGAUGCAGGACAAUAUCCUGCGGAUUUUA
rnacentral:tRNA from 1 species